rnacentral:rRNA from 1 species
GAUGAACGCUGGCGGCGUGCCUAAUACAUGCAAGUCGAGCGAACGGACGAGAAGCUUGCUUCUCUGAUGUUAGCGGCGGACGGGUGAGUAACACGUGGAUAACCUACCUAUAAGACUGGGAUAACUUCGGGAAACCGGAGCUAAUACCGGAUAAUAUUUUGAACCGCAUGGUUCAAAAGUGAAAGACGGUCUUGCUGUCACUUAUAGAUGGAUCCGCGCUGCAUUAGCUAGUUGGUAAGGUAGCGGCUUACCAAGGCAACGAUGCAUAGCCGACCUGAGAGGGUGAUCGGCCACACUGGAACUGAGACACGGUCCAGACUCCUACGGGAGGCAGCAGUAGGGAAUCUUCCGCAAUGGGCGAAAGCCUGACGGAGCAACGCCGCGUGAGUGAUGAAGGUCCUCGGAUCGUAAAACUCUGUUAUUAGGGAAGAACAUAUGUGUAAGUAACUGUGCACAUCUUGACGGUACCUAAUCAGAAAGCCACGGCUAACUACGUG